rnacentral:rRNA from 1 species
UACAGAGGGGGCUAGCGUUAUUCGGAAUUAUUGGGCGUAAAGGGCGCGUAGGCGGCCAUGCGUGUCUUCCGUGAAAUCCCUCGGCUUAACUGAGGACGUGCGGAAGAAACUGCAAGGCUCGAGUCCGGGAGAGGGGGGUGGAAUUCCCAGUGUAGCGGUGAGAUGCGUAGAGAUCAGGAAGAACACCGGUGGCGAAGGCGCUCUGCUAGGCCGUAACUGACACUGAGGGACGAAAGCUAGGGGAGCGAAUGGG